UGGAGAGUCUCAAACAUGCAGUGACGUGUACGGUAUUAUUUGCAUGUCAGCAUGUCCCCGCCCCCCUCUAGUGUCCCUCGCCCCGCCUCAGGAGAGCUCUGUGCGCAGGAAGUAGAUAAAGCGCACGCUUCCGGGUCGACUGCGCAGGACACGUCACUCUGUGAGGACCGAGUGUAUAUACAAACACACACGAAGACCUCUUCAGUCCCCGCUCUUUCAUUAUCGAGACAACACUGGUGUUGUACAAGAAGCCAGCAAGCCAGCAAGCCAGCAAGCCACAUUGAUAGACACACAAACCUGUUGCAGCUGUCGUAGUCUUUAGCCAUCAGCAAAAACAUCAUCUGUCUUCAUCAGCCCUCCGUUGUCAACUUUUGCCCGAGGGCGAUACCCUUCUUUUUUAUUGAUCUGUCCUGCUAUGGUCGGUAGCUGCAGUCAUGCCAGCAUUCAGCUGUCGGGCCAGCUGCACUGAGAUGCCCACGUACCUGGGUAGACGUCCCAUUUGCUUCUAUGAUGCCACCCCGUUCGCCAGGGGUCGCCGUUGUUCAGUUCACAAGGCUAAACUCAUCGGUGGGCUACACAGUGAUGAGAAGUACAUCGCCAAGAUGUCCACCCCUGCCCACCCCUUGACAUGUCAGGAGUGCUCGAUGGAGGUAGAAAAGAACAACAUGGUAGAGGAGAUGGUGAAGAGAUUUCAGGAGAUUGUCCAGAGUGAUCCCUUUCUGUCGGUUGCCCCUUACAACUUUGUCAGGAGACAGAGCAGGAAAAAUGGCGGAACGGAAGAGUUUAUCCUCGUGCAGGAGAGACAAACGAAGAAAGGAAAGUUCGGCGAGUUCGUGUCUCCGGCAGGGGAGAGCAGAGUGGACACACAUGGAGUUCUGGAAGCCUUUGGACACUUCAGCUACGACUUCUCCUGCGGCGAGGUGGUGUGGCCGGCCUGAAGGGGGUGAUGGAGGGCAGAAGACCCCCAUGGAAGGUCUGCACUCUGACCUCUGUCACCCUGCACUCUCUGCAGCAGAGGUUUGGGGUGGAGGACGAAGGUGCCAAUGGCAUACAGACUUUCUUCGCGAACCACUGCUGCACACGCUUGUGCCAGAACUUUCGGCCAUACUCGUGUGAUGAGGAAUCGUCCAUGGAACUGUAACCCUGUGGUUGAACCCUCGGCUCCACUACUGGAGGAUUUCUCAACCUCUUGUUACCCGGACAACCAAAGAUCUGUUCUUCCACCACCGUAUUCAGAGAUGAAUAAUAAUAACUAUAAUGGUGUUACACAACCUCCGUUCUGUCUGUAUUACUAUCAGAACCCAUGAGCUGAUAUGGAAAAAAGGACUAUACCCUCUAUCAGAUACAAAUUUAUUUUAUUCAGACUAAACCGCAUAAUCCUUGAACCUCGAUGCUCUGUGUAAAUAUUUUUGUGAGUAAAUUAAUUUAUGUACGUGCACUUCGGACUCACGAGUUUGAGGUAUCAUAGUCAAUAUACUUAUAUAAUAAAUUAUUAGACAUUUUAUAAUAAUAACUAUACUCCUUCCUGAUCAGGGUAAAAUUUCUGUUGGCAAUAUGGCUCGCGAAUAUAUUAUGGAAUCUCUAAUUUUCCCAAUCUCAUGCUGUCAAAGCUUCUCCACUCGUAACCGUUGGGAAAAAAUGUUGUUGCACAAAACUGUAUCAACGGUCCUCAUUGCCAACUCUUGAAGUGAACAAGCCAUCGAGCAUGGCAACGACCCCAGUACACACCUACAUGCUUUUUUUUCAAACGAAUUUUACUGAUAAGCAAAUGGAACGGUGUGCUCUCUGAGUGGGGACGUCAGGGUUCGAAUCUGAGUUAGGACAUUGGAAAAGAAGUGUUUUAUUUAGGGUGCAGGCACCUUUACAGAUGAAUUGUGUUCGAGUUCUGUGAUAAUGGAGACCUGAGUGUGCUCGAGCUUCUGAUAACCGUUUUCUGUGAUGAACCGGGUAUUGAAGGGAGAACUUACAAGCAAGGGUAUAUCUGCACUGUAUGCUGUGCACUUUGUACAUUUAACCCAUGAACCAACUGCUUAGAGUAAGUUUCUGUUCAUGGUGUAUAAUAAUAUAAUAGUGAUAGAGAUAUCUGUAGUUUAUAUUAGAAUAACAGCAGUAACUAACUCAGUUAUGUUAAUAGAAGAUUCUUUUCAUCAAAGCUGAAAAUAAAUUUAAUAAUAAAAGUUACAGUUAUGAAAUAAGAAGGAAAGAUAAUUUAAAAUCAUAAUUCUAGGUUUGUCUGCAGAUAGAGUUUGUACAUUAAACUCUACAAACACAACCGAGAGGCUUGUAGCGGGCAGCCAGUGAUAACUGUGUUUGUUUAUGAUGUUGAUAUUUCUGUUUCGGGUGAGGAAAUAAAAUGAAGUGGGGUGGGGAAUGCUUAGUCACAUUUUGCUUUUCUCUCUUUCGGUUUCGCCAUCGCUUGUCUGUGAGACAUGAACUGUACACUGUUCAUUAUGUCCUAUCAUACGAUCCGCUCAAUAAACUGCUUGCUUUGUUGU
rnacentral:lncRNA from 1 species